GUACAGUCUCUUCCACUAUAGUCUCUUCUUCUAUUUUGCCAUAAAACGCUUCCCAUGGGGGCUAUGAUCGCACACUUCUACCUUCAACCAGGAGCCAUAUGGUCCGGUUUUGUUUGUUGCCCAAGGUCAUUGAACACAGCUUCUAACCUCCAGCCAUGGGGGAUGCCUCCAAUACGCACCCAGAAAGCAUUUCUGGAAAAGUCGUAGCAGUGCUCAGGUAUUUCAGGCUCGCAUUGUUUAAGGACCAAUAAGUUACUGGCAAAAGACGAAGGUGCAGUUUUCAGAACUCUCUUUUCCUCCUCCGAUUGAAAAACAAAAGUGAACAAUCCUGGUUCUUUUUGGGAGCAGACCACAGAUUUUGAUUUCCAGGCUUUCUUCAUGGUAUUAAGAAAAGCUGGGAAGUUAACAUUAGGUCUAGAAAAUAAUUUCCCAAAUAGAGUGCGAUUGCAUUAAUCCCUCUUUUGUGGGGGUAUUUCUAUGGACACUUCUACAACAUCAUUCUCAAACCAUAGAUGACCCAGACUUUUACAUAAUGCGGCCACUCGCAUUUCAUUCUCUUCUUUACCCUCCAUUCUCUCUUGCUACAUGAAUGCUGGUUUUAGGUACUUAGAGUGGGUUAUGUAAGGACUUUGGAGGCAAAGCUAUAUGGGAAAUAGCUUGAAGGGAGCUCUGUGAUAAGUAUAGCUGAAAACAGGGGCACGAGAUUACUUGAGUGGAUAAGAAGAUGUGGACAGUGAAAUAUUGGUCCGCAGCAGUGUCUCUUCUGUCAACAGUGGAAAACGAUUGAAAGAUGCGGUUCAGCUGCGAAGAAAACCAUAAGCCCAGUGAAAAAUCAUGGAAGAGUAACAGAAUCCCACCUGUUGCAAGGCCUGAACUCCAAGAUCACCCUGCUUGGAAUGGGUUCUUCGAAAAGGAGAAGCCAGAACUGUGCCAUUACUCGGAACUGCUCAGAACUGCAGAGAAAACAAUUGGAAGAAAAAUUUCUGGAAUGCUGAUGAUGGGUUUCAUUGAUCUAGCAGGCUAGAAGAAGUAGGAGAGGUUAUUGAGAUCAACAUUUGGAUUUAGGGUUUUUGGGGAAAAAGCUACCAGAGUGGUAGAGGGGAGCUCGCAGAGACGAGAGUCGUGCUAGUGAUGAAUACGGAUC